GGCUUCCAACAGUUAUCUCCAGGACAGGCUAUUACAAAUGUUACUGCUAAAGACAUUUUGGUUAGCCCUCCCACUGUUCUAUGCAAUAGGGAGACUCGAUAACUUUGCCUCUCUGAUUUGCAAAUCCAGCUUUUGUUUGGAGAUCAUGUUAGAAUGGAAGAAAAAAGAUGGCUGCUGAUCUCAUUAACUGCAGAUGGGACAGGGCAGUUUUUUCCAGAUGAACUGUACUCAGAAGAUUCAUACUUUUCAGGAAAUCAUGCACCCAUUGAAAAAGAAGACUAAAAUCAUGAAAGCAGGCAAGAAAUUUCAGCUUUGAUGAUUAAAAAACGAAUUCUGUGUAAAACCAAAAGUGAUAAAGAAGAGAAACAGAGAAGAAAAAGUCAUGCAGUAUCUUAAUCAAGACUGGGCAACACUGGAGUAGUAAAUCUGUUUAGCAGUUCAAGGUCCCAAGGUUUUUGUAUUUCCUUUGAAGAACUUGAGUUGACACAGUGUGUGGCUUUUACAUCAUGGACCAAAAUACUCCUUUACCUUGGGAUGGCAGGUGCAGCAAAUCUGCAUGACCCCUCAAAAAACUUCCCUGAAUCUGGAAAUCAUCAGCUUAAACUACAAAGUUUGGCCUUGGCCUUCAAAGUGAAAACCUUGAAAGAAAGGACUGUAGGAAGAAUCCAGCCUGCACAGUUGGUGUCUAGGUACCUCAGUCAGUUCAAGCGUCCGACUCUCGAGUUCAGCUCAGGUCAUGAUCUGACAGCGUGAGAUUGAGCCCUGUGUCCGGCUUUGCACUGACAGCACAGAGCCUGCUUGGGAUUUUCUCUCUCUGUCUCUAUCUGCCCCUCCCCUGCUCAUGCUUGCUCUCUCUCUCAAAAUAAAUAAACUUAAAAAAAAAAAAGAAAAUUAAAAUCACAUAUAAUCCCAAGAAAAGCACCAUUUUAUAAUCUUUUUUUCCUUUUUUUUUUCAGUUUUGUGUCUGCGGUGCAAAAUUUUCUUUGAAAAUAUGCAUCAUUGGGGCGCCUGGGUGGCUUGGUCGGUUAAGCGUCCGACUUCGGUCGGGUCAUGAUCUCGCGGUCCCUGAGUUCGAGCCCCGCGUCGGGCUCUGUGCUGACCGCUCAGAGCCUGGAGCCUGUUUCAGAUUCUGUGUCUCCCUCUCUCUCUGCUCCUCCCCUGUUCAUGCUCUGUCUCCCUCUGUCUCAAAAAUAAAUAAACGUUAAAAA